rnacentral:rRNA from 1 species
UACGUAGGGUGCGAGCGUUAAUCGGAAUACUGGGCGUAAAGCGUGCGCAGGCGGUUUUGUAAGACAGAUGUGAAAUCCCCGGGCUCAACCUGGGACUGCGUUUGUGACUGCAAGACUUGAGUAUGGCAGAGGGGGGUAGGAAUUCCACGGUGUAGCAGUGAAAUGCGUAGAGAUGUGGAGGAAUACCGAUGGCGGAAGGCAGCCCCCUGGGUCAAUACGUG